rnacentral:rRNA from 2 species
UUGAGUCUUGUAGAGGGGGGUAGAAUUCCAGGUGUAGCGGUGAAAUGCGUAGAGAUCUGGAGGAAUACCGGUGGCGAAGGCGGCCCCCUGGACAAAGACUGACGCUCAGGUGCGAAAGCGUGGGGAGCAAACAGGAUUAGAUACCCUGGUAGUCCACGCCGUAAACGAUGUCUACUUGGAGGUUGUGCCCUUGAGGCGUGGCUUCCGGAGCUAACGCGUUAAGUAGACCGCCUGGGGAGUACGGCCGCAAGGUUAAAACUCAAAUGAAUUGACGGGGGCCCGCACAAGCGGUGGAGCAUGUGGUUUAAUUCGAUGCAACGCGAAGAACCUUAC